rnacentral:rRNA from 1 species
CCUCCCACAAGGGGUUAGGCCACCGGCUUCGGGUGUUACCGACUUUCAUGACGUGACGGGCGGUGUGUACAAGGCCCGGGAACGUAUUCACCGCAGCGUUGCUGAUCUGCGAUUACUAGCGACUCCGACUUCACGGGGUCGAGUUGCAGACCCCGAUCCGAACUGAGACCGGCUUUGAAAGGAUUCGCUCCACCUCACGGUAUCGCAGCCCUUUGUACCGGCCAUUGUAGCAUGUGUGAAGCCCUGGACAUAAGGGGCAUGAUGACUUGACGUCAUCCCCACCUUCCUCCGAGUUGACCCCGGCAGUCUCCUACGAGUCCCCGGCAUAACCCGCUGGCAACAUAGGACAAGGGUUGCGCUCGUUGCGGGACUUAACCCAACAUCUCACGACACGAGCUGACGACAGCCAUGCACCACCUGCACACAGACCACAAGGGAACCGACAUCUCUGCCGACGUCCUGUGCAUGUCAAACCCAGGUAAGGUUCUUCGCGUUGCAUCGAAUUAAUCCACAUGCUCCGCCGCUUGUGCGGG